rnacentral:rRNA from 1 species
AACGAACGCUGGCGGCAUGCCUAACACAUGCAAGUCGAACGAGACCUUCGGGUCUAGUUGCUCGCGGGUGCGUAACGCGUGGGAACUUGCCCUUAUGUUCGGAAUAACUCCCCGAAAGGGGUGCUAAUACCGGAUAAUGUCUUCGGCCCAAAGAUUUAUCGCCUUUGGAUGGGCCCGCGUUGGAUUAGCUUGUUGGUAGGGUAAAAGCCUACUUAGGCCACGAUCCUUAGCUGGCCUGAGAGCAUGAUCAGCCACCCUGGGCCUGCGACACGGCUCAGACUACUGGGGGAGGCAGCAGUGUGCAGUAAUGGACUAUGGACGCACGCCUGAUCCAGCUGCGCUGCGUGCGGGAUGAACGGCUUGGCGAUCUAAAGCCCUUUUUGCCGCGGUGAUAAUGACAGUACCGGGCAAAGAAGCGCCGGCUAACUCCGUG